rnacentral:rRNA from 1 species
UACGUAGGGUGCGAGCGUUGUCCGGAAUUAUUGGGCCUAAAGCAUCCGUAGCCGGUUCUACAAGUCUUCCGUUAAAUCCAACUGCUUAACAGGUGGGCUGCGGAAGAUACUAUAGAGCUAGGAGGCGGGAGAGGCAAGCGGUACUCGAUGGGUAGGGGUAAAAUCCGUUGAUCCAUUGAAGACCACCAGUGGCGAAGGCGGCUUGCCAGAACGCGC